GUUGGUGACUAGAGCUGCGGGGGUACACCCGGCUCCAUCCCGAACCCGGUCGUUAAGCCCGCAAGCGCCGAUGGUACUGCACGGGCAACUGUGUGGGAGAGUAGGCCGUUGCCAACC
rnacentral:rRNA from 1 species